GAGUGGUGAAUCUCUGGAACUCCCUGCCACAGAGGCAGUGCAUUAUUCAAGAGAGCGUUGAAUAUAGCUCUUAGGGCUAACGGAAUGAAGGGAUAUGGGGAGAAAGCAGGAAUGGGGUACUGAUUCUGGAUGAUCAGCCAUGAUCAUAUUGAAUGGCGGUGCUGGCUCGAAGGGCUGAAUGGCCUGCU